UGAAAACGUUUUACAAUAGAGUCGUUCUUGAAUUUCGUUUUUUUGAAAAAGAAUUGCCAAAUGAUAUUUGGAAAGGAGAUUAUUCUUUUUCAUUUCAACGAGAAAUAUUUUAAAAGGAGGAAGAACAAGA
rnacentral:sRNA from 1 species